UCCAAGUCUUCCUGGUGUACCUGUGCUCUGUAUGGACACUAGUUUCCCAGAGCCCUCUGCAUGGAAUCCCUGCAGUGCAGAGCUUCAGACAGAAGCGUGCUGUACCAGCGCCGUCUGUGAUGAGUGAGGCAGAGACGUACCCGAGUGAGGCAUGGGGCGGGUAGGCGCCAGGAGCGGGACAUCCAACCAGCAAAGAAAAUGGAGCCUGAUUAAUGCAUCCGCCACACAGAAAAAAACGGGCAGGGGCUGUCCUUUGUUCCUCUAUUUGUGACUUUGCAAUGUGGAUUUGAUUACAGCGCUCUGAACUCAGCAGAUUUCCUCCCCGCGCGCAGUGGAAAACAUUGAUGUCCUAUUUACAAAGAAUUUCUGGGAAGCCUGUUGCACAUACAUAUCAACAACUGCUUGCUUGGAUGGUUUUUAUUUAAUAGUGUUUUGAAAAGCAUAUGGAGAAGAUUUCUACUGUGGUACAUUUAACUCAGAAAUGUGUUGUGCCUGGAGGAAGGAGCUUUUAGGAGUUACGGUACUUUGUAUCUGUGAAGUGUGCUGCUGGAGGGAUGUGCGUUCGGGCUCUUGUUUUAUUGUAAUCUCUGGAGCCUGUGGCUGGCUUGUACCUUGAUGGAGAUCUCGGUUUGUACGCAGGCAGGGCUCAGUGCAAGUUCUAUUUAGUAGAAGUUUUGCUCAAGGCUUUGAGUUUUAUAACAUUUUUUUAUGACAUUUGCUCUUUGGAACAAUAUCUGCAGUACGUUCGUUUUCCUUUACUCCAAGCUCCAGCAAUCACCCUAAAAAGGCAUUACAUAAUGCACCACAUCUGGCCUUGGAAAGGACAGUCUGUAUUUGGGUCAUGAUCAUUACUUUAAUGGAGGUGCAGCGAGGAGAUUCGAAGGUCACAGGAGAAGCCUUUCAGAGCUGGUGCGCAGGAGCAAUACAGAGUACAAGCAAAUUGUCUGCAGUCUGUAGGAACCCAACAUAUCCUGCAUGAGCAGGAAUUGCAGCCAUCGGACCCCACCACGUUUGGCUGCUCUUGAGUUCCUGGUGAUUUUCUCCAUUGCAACUAAUUUCUGAAUUUGUUAGCAUGCAGCAGGAAGCCUGAAGGCACAAAAGCAAGCCAAUGUUAUUUGGACAGUCUUUUUAAUUUCAAAGUAACCCUGUAUCUGGUGCAAUUCGCUUUAAAUAGUACAUCCUCAUAUUAUUGUUUUGAAAGGUUCCUUAAAAAAUUGUGAGGGACUUUUCUGUUUCCUUACUGAAAUUUACAGCGGUCUUUUCAGCAAGGAAGAAACAAACCAGGGUGCCACAUCUGAACGUCUUUGCACAGACAACUAACCAAAAUAAAGGAAAUUCAUGCUUGAAAUCUCUGUAGGCUAAAAAAGGCAGACUGGGCCUGGUUAGGAUGCUGAGUUCCCAGUGCAGGCUGAAGAAUGCAAUGCCUUCACAACACAGCAGGAACAGUGCCAGCAAUGACGGCCCUACAGAGCAGCCCACAAGGGCAAACAACCACAGUUACUCUUCUUGUGUGGAAAGAAGAUUGCCACUUCUGCAAAUACCAUUUAAGGCCAUUAAACAGUAACAGCAUGGAAUCUACACCUUUUUUUAUCAGAAGAUUAUAGCGAUGACAGCAAAAGGAGGAUGCUUCCCACAUAAGAGCAAAAGGAGGAUGUGUGCCCAAGUGGGAGCAGAGGGGAUUUUUGGUACGGUGAAGCUCUGAAGAAGACUCAGAACCAGGGUCUCUGUGACAGCCCCACUGGGUGUCAUAUACUGAACUCAGAGCUGAUGGAGAAUGGAGUUAAGACAUGGAGAAAUAUACAGAUAACGAUUGGUCUCCACUGGCAGAGUUCCAAAAAUAUCAUCAUCUUUAUGCAUCAUAGAUAUCUUUAUAGAUAUGGUUAAAAACUCCAGUACCCAAAGAGCAUUCGGUAGUGCCUGCUGGAAAAACACCUAGGAAGGAGGCGGUGAGUCAGCCCGAUUUGUGUUUUUACAGUGAUGUUAAAGACCAAGUUCAUUUAUAAGAGGGAGAAGUCUGCACCUCCGAAAUCUUGUCUAUAUUAGGGAAUUUUACUCAUAAAACAGGGAAGCAAAAUAACUUGACACAUUCCAUCGGCUAAGCCCCACUAAAGUUAAAAUUGCUGGGAGGUUAAAUAUGCACAUAUUUCUGCUGCCUUGCAGCAUUUUUGCUGGUGGAUCAAUCAAGUGUUCCUCAGCAGGCUAAUUCUGUCCCUGCUUUGGAGCAUGCUCAGAGUUGCCAAAUUUUAAGCAAGAUGUUCAAAGCUUCUCUAUACGAUCACAUUGAUGUCUUUUUGCUUAGUUGCUUUACUGACAUUGAUGAACCAUUUCCCAGAUUUGUCCCUCGUCCUCUCCCCCCCGAAAAAAAUCAGAUUGCAAGAGAUAUUCAAAGAAGGAAUCAUCUGCCUAAACAGUUAAAACUUAAAACAACCACCAGCUGAAAUUAUAGCCAACUAAAAGCUGCCUCUUGUAAUGGAAAUAUCAGACAUCCUUAAUUGUAGGUCAGCACCAGUUCUGCCUACAACAGAAUGCGUUUAUUUUCAUCCAUAGAAAUGAAUGGAGAUUAGGGGAAAGAAAAAAAAUCCACCUCUUAAAUCCAAAAUCCAGGCUGCUCUUCCCUGCCGGGCCAGCAAGCAGCUACAGAAUUCCCACCCCACUUGUUUGCUGUGGUUACACAGCCCUGUGUUAUUUCCACUAUCUCACAUACAGAGCCAAAAGAACUUGGAAGAUGAAAAGACUUGUGCUUUCAAAUAUUUUCCUUUUAAAAGCAGAAAACUAAGUGUAAUUCUAUUAAUGCAUUCUUAUUUUGGAGGGACCGCUGAAGUCAGGAAAUACCAAGUCAGUGCUCUGUUCUAUUCGUUGUGCAGAUGUACCACUUUCUAUUCCUCUUUUCCUUGUUAAAUAUAAGCUGUUGUGUCA